AGGCUUUUUCGUACUUACUACAGCAAUCAACAUGAAGGUAGCAGACAUUUUCCUUCUGUACGCCAUGUUUUCAAUCCUCACACUAGCCGUAUGUUCUAAAUACAACAGACGACACACUUCGGCAGACGCACAGGGUCGAGGAGUUGUAAUACAGUCUGGUAGGAAUGUUAGACCGCCCGAUGAUGUAUGGUGUGCUUUCUGUCGAGGGAGACACGGAAAGAGCCUAAUAUGCUAUAUGUACUGUACACAAUAAGGCAAACUCUGAUUACAUACUUCCAUGGCGUGGUUAGACAAUAUGAUAAAUAUAUUGAAAUGACAGCAUAGAAGUGACUGAUGCAAGGAAUGUAAAAUUGUUUAUAAAUCAAUCAAUAAAAGUAUAAAAUGAAAUAUUAUACAGUAUAUGUCAAACAAU